CCUACGGGUGGCAGCAGUGAGGAAUAUUGGUCAAUGGCCGUAAGGCUGAACCAGCCAAGUAGCGUGAGGGAAGACAGCCCUAUGGGUUGUAAACCUCUUUUAUGCGGGGAUAAAGUUGUCCACGUGUGGAGUUUUGCAGGUACCGCAUGAAUAAGCACCGGCUAAUUCCGUGCCAGCAGCCGCGGUAAUACGGAAGGUCCGGGCGUUAUCCGGAUUUAUUGGGUUUAAAGGGAGCGUAGGCGGGUCUUUAAGCGUGCGGUGAAAUUUUGUGGCUCAACCCUUAGAGUGCGGUGGGAACUGGAGGACUUGAGUGUGCGGAGGGCAGGCGGAAUUCGUGGUGUAGCGGUGAAAUGCUUAGAUAUCACGAAGAACCCCGAUCGCGAAGGCAGUCUGCCGGAGCAUUACUGACGCUGAAGCUCGAAAGUGCGGGUAUCAAACAGGAUUAGAUACCCGGGUAGUC
rnacentral:rRNA from 1 species